rnacentral:piRNA from 1 species
AAGUCCUAGAAAAAAUAGAAAAUG